rnacentral:rRNA from 1 species
AACGUAGGACACAAGCGUUAUCCGGAGUUACUGGGCGUAAAGGGCGUGUAGGCGGAGAUGUAAGUCUAUUCUGAAAGCUCCUGGCUAAACUGGGAGAGGCGAAUGGAGACUGCAUAUCUAGAGUGAGGAAGAGGAAAGUGGAAUUCCGCGUGUAGUGGUGAAAUGCGUAGAGAUGCGGAGGAACACCAGUGGCGAAAGCGACUUUCUGGUCCUUAACUGACGCUGAGGCGCGAAAAGCAUGGGGAGCGAACGGG